rnacentral:rRNA from 1 species
GAUGAACGCUGGCGGCGUGCCUAAUACAUGCAAGUAGAACGCUGAAGCUUGGUGCUUGCACCGAGCGGAUGAGUUGCGAACGGGUGAGUAACGCGUAGGUAGCCUGCCUGGUAGCGGGGGAUAACUAUUGGAAACGAUAGCUAAUACCGCAUAACAGUCGACAUUGCAUGAUGUUGAUUUGAAAGGGGCAAUUGCUCCACUACCAGAUGGACCUGCGUUGUAUUAGCUAGUUGGUGAGGUAACGGCUCACCAAGGCGACGAUACAUAGCCGACCUGAGAGGGUGAUCGGCCACACUGGGACUGAGACACGGCCCAGACUCCUACGGGAGGCAGCAGUAGGGAAUCUUCGGCAAUGGACGGAAGUCUGACCGAGCAACGCCGCGUGAGUGAAGAAGGUUUUCGGAUCGUAAAGCUCUGUUGUAAGAGAAGAACGAGUGUGAGAGUGGAAAGUUCACACUGUGACGGUAACUUACCA